ACUCAAAUAGCUUAUAAAUUAGAGCAUAACAUUGAAGAUGUUAGUGAGAUUAAUAGAUCUUUGAGUA
rnacentral:tRNA from 1 species